rnacentral:rRNA from 1 species
GGUUAAGCGACUAAGCGUACACGGUGGAUGCCCUGGCAGUCAGAGGCGAUGAAGGACGUGCUAAUCUGCGAAAAGCGUCGGUAAGGUGAUAUGAACCGUUAUAACCGGCGAUGUCCGAAUGGGGAAACCCAGUGCAAUUCGUUGCACUAUCGUUAACUGAAUACAUAGGUUAACGAGGCGAACCGGGGGAACUGAAACAUCUAAGUACCCCGAGGAAAAGAAAUCAACCGAGAUUCCCCCAGUAGCGGCGAGCGAACGGGGAGCAGCCCAGAGUCUGAAUCAGCUUGUGUGUUAGUGGAACGGUCUGGAAAGUCCGACGGUACAGGGUGAUAGUCCCGUACACCAAAAUGCACAGGCUGUGAACUCGAAGAGUAGGGCGGGACACGUGGUAUCCUGUCUGAAUAUGGGGGGACCAUCCUCCAAGGCUAAAUACUCCUGACUGACCGAUAGUGAACCAGUACCGUGAGGGAAAGGCGAAAAGAACCCCGGCGAGGGGAGUGAAAAAGAACCUGAAACCGUGUACGUACAAGCAGUGGGAGCACCUUCGGGUGUGACUGCGUACCUUUUGUAUAAUGGGUCAGCGACUUAUAUUCUGUAGCAAGGUUAACCGUAUAGGGGAGCCGCAGGGAAACCGAGUCUUAACUGGGCGUUAAGUUGCAGGGUAUAGACCCGAAACCCGGUGAUCUAGCCAUGGGCAGGUUGAAGGUUGGGUAACACUAACUGGAGGACCGAACCGACUAAUGUUGAAAAAUUAGCGGAUGACUUGUGGCUGGGGGUGAAAGGCCAAUCAAACCGGGAGAUAGCUGGUUCUCCCCGAAAGCUAUUUAGGUAGCGCCUCGUGAAUUCAUCUUCGGGGGUAGAGCACUGUUUCGGCUAGGGGGUCAUCCCGACUUACCAACCCGAUGCAAACUACGAAUACCGAAGAAUGUUAUCACGGGAGACACACGGCGGGUGCUAACGUCCGUCGUGAAGAGGGAAACAACCCAGACCGCCAGCUAAGGUCCCAAAGUCAUGGUUAAGUGGGAAACGAUGUGGGAAGGCACAGACAGCCAGGAUGUUGGCUUAGAAGCAGCCAUCAUUUAAAGAAAGCGUAAUAGCUCACUGGUCGAGUCGGCCUGCGCGGAAGAUGUAACGGGGCUAAACCAUGCACCGAAGCUGCGGCAGCGACACUAUGUGUUGUUGGGUAGGGGAGCGUUCUGUAAGCCUGCGAAGGUGNNNNNNNNNNNNNNNNNNNNNNNNNNNNNNNNNNNNNNNNNNNNNNNNNNNNNNNNNNNNNNNNNNNNNNNNNNNNNNNNNNNNNNNNNNNNNNNNNNNNUGCUGGAGGUAUCAGAAGUGCGAAUGCUGACAUAAGUAACGAUAAAGCGGGUGAAAAGCCCGCUCGCCGGAAGACCAAGGGUUCCUGUCCAACGUUAAUCGGGGCAGGGUGAGUCGACCCCUAAGGCGAGGCCGAAAGGCGUAGUCGAUGGGAAACAGGUUAAUAUUCCUGUACUUGGUGUUACUGCGAAGGGGGGACGGAGAAGGCUAUGUUAGCCGGGCGACGGUUGUCCCGGUUUAAGCAUGUAGGCUGGUUGUCCAGGCAAAUCCGGAUAAUCAAGGCUGAGGUGUGAUGACGAGGCACUACGGUGCUGAAGUAACAAAUGCCCUGCUUCCAGGAAAAGCCUCUAAGCAUCAGGUAACAUCAAAUCGUACCCCAAACCGACACAGGUGGUCAGGUAGAGAAUACCAAGGCGCUUGAGAGAACUCGGGUGAAGGAACUAGGCAAAAUGGUGCCGUAACUUCGGGAGAAGGCACGCUGGUGUGUAGGUGAAGUCCCUGCGGAUGGAGCUGAGACCAGUCGAAGAUACCAGCUGGCUGCAACUGUUUAUUAAAAACACAGCACUGUGCAAACACGAAAGUGGACGUAUACGGUGUGACGCCUGCCCGGUGCCGGAAGGUUAAUUGAUGGGGUUAUCCGUAAGGAGAAGCUCUUGAUCGAAGCCCCGGUAAACGGCGGCCGUAACUAUAACGGUCCUAAGGUAGCGAAAUUCCUUGUCGGGUAAGUUCCGACCUGCACGAAUGGCGUAAUGAUGGCCAGGCUGUCUCCACCCGAGACUCAGUGAAAUUGAACUCGCUGUGAAGAUGCAGUGUACCCGCGGCAAGACGGAAAGACCCCGUGAACCUUUACUAUAGCUUGACACUGAACAUUGAGCCUUGAUGUGUAGGAUAGGUGGGAGGCUUUGAAGCGUGGACGCCAGUCUGCGUGGAGCCAACCUUGAAAUACCACCCUUUAAUGUUUGAUGUUCUAACGUUGGCCCCUUACCGGGGUUGCGGACAGUGUCUGGUGGGUAGUUUGACUGGGGCGGUCUCCUCCCAAAGCGUAACGGAGGAGCACGAAGGUUAGCUAAUCCUGGUCGGACAUCAGGAGGUUAGUGCAAUGGCAUAAGCUAGCUUGACUGCGAGCGUGACGGCGCGAGCAGGUGCGAAAGCAGGUCAUAGUGAUCCGGUGGUUCUGAAUGGAAGGGCCAUCGCUCAACGGAUAAAAGGUACUCCGGGGAUAACAGGCUGAUACCGCCCAAGAGUUCAUAUCGACGGCGGUGUUUGGCACCUCGAUGUCGGCUCAUCACAUCCUGGGGCUGAAGUAGGUCCCAAGGGUAUGGCUGUUCGCCAUUUAAAGUGGUACGCGAGCUGGGUUUAGAACGUCGUGAGACAGUUCGGUCCCUAUCUGCCGUGGGCGCUGGAGAAUUGAGGGGGGCUGCUCCUAGUACGAGAGGACCGGAGUGGACGCAUCACUGGUGUUCGGGUUGUCAUGCCAAUGGCACUGCCCGGUAGCUAAAUGCGGAAGAGAUAAGUGCUGAAAGCAUCUAAGCACGAAACUUGCCCCGAGAUGAGUUCUCCCUGAGACUUUAAGUCUCCUGAAGGAACGUU